rnacentral:rRNA from 1 species
GCACAAGCGGAGGAGCAUGUGGUUUAAUUCGAAGCAACGCGAAGAACCUUACCAGGUCUUGACAUCUAGUGCCAUUUGUAGAGAUACAAAGUUCCCUUCGGGGACGCUAAGACAGGUGGUGCAUGGCUGUCGUCAGCUCGUGUCGUGAGAUGUUGGGUUAAGUCCCGCAACGAGCGCAACCCUUGUUAUUAGUUGCCAGCAUUAAGUUGGGCACUCUAAUGAGACUGCCGGUGACAAACCGGAGGAAGGUGGGGAUGACGUCAAGUCAUCAUGCCCCUUAUGACCUGGGCUACACACGUGCUACAAUGGGCAGUACAACGAGAAGCGAGCCUGCGAAGGCAAGCGAAUCUCUGAAAGCUGUUCUCAGUUCGGACUGCAGUCUGCAACUCGACUGCACGAAGCUGGAAUCGCUAGUAAUCGCGGAUCAGCACGCCGCGGUGAAUACGUUCCCGGGCCUUGUACACACCGGCCGUCACACCAAGGGAGUCUG